ACAAACUUGGUCAUUUAGAGGAAGUAAAAGUCGUAACAAGGUUUCCGUAGGUGAACCUGCGGAAGGAUCAUUAACGAGCCGUGAGGGUCAUCUGGAAACAGAUUUGACCUUUCACUUGGCCACCCUUGUUUACCUUAACCUGUUGCUUUGGUGAGCACGGGCCCGGAAAGCAUAGAUUUCCCGGCGGCCAAUUGCGGCGGGCCCACCAAAGUCUUAAUGAAUUCUUGAUUAUACUUUUUGCUGUCUGAGCAUUAAAAUAAACAAAUAUACUUUAAAACUUUCAACAACGGAUCUCUUGGUUCUGGCAUCGAUGAAGAACGCAGC
rnacentral:misc_RNA from 1 species